rnacentral:rRNA from 1 species
UAAAUAAAAUAUUUAUAUAUAUAUUUCCCGAAUUUAGAAGAGCUAUUUAUCUAUAUUUUUUAUUGUAGAAUAAAUAUAUUAAAUAGAUAGAUUGGAGUUAGAUGUUAUUCGUUUCUAAAUAUAUCUGGUUUUUCAAGAAAUUAAUUUAAUUUAUUUGAUUGAGAAAAAUUAAACUUUUUUUGUUUAUAUUUUUUUAAUCAGUUAAUAGUCUAGGGGAUGAGCUUUAGAUUAGACCUUUAUAAGUUACUUAAUAUUUCAGGGUUUAUAGGAAUAGAAGUUUUCAGUUUUAGAAGAAUGUUAUAUUUGACUCUGAAUUUUAUAUUAUUUAUUUUAAUUUUAAAUUUUUUAUUGAAAUAUAAAUUUUAAUUUUUAUUGUUUAGUGAAAAUGAUUAAAUUAGUAAAGUUGUUGUACAUUUAUUUUUUAAUGUUAGGUUAAGCUAAGGAAUUCGGCAAAUUAUUUUUUCACCUGUUUAUUAAAAACAUGGCCUUUUGAUGAUUAUUUAAGGUCUGGCCUGCCCACUGAGUAUUUAAAGGGCCGCGGUACUUU